CUACGGGAGGCAGCAGUAGGGAAUAUUGGACAAUGGAGGCAACUCUGAUCCAGCCAUCCCGCGUGAAGGAUUAAGGCGCUCUGCGCUGUAAACUUCUUUUCUCUGGGAAUAAAAACUGGCGUUCACGCUGGCUUGAAGGUACCAGAGGAAUAAGCACCGGCUAACUCCGUGCCAGCAGCCGCGGUAAUACGGAGGGUGCAAGCGUUAUCCGGAUUCACUGGGUUUAAAGGGUGCGUAGGUGGUUUUGUAAGUCAGUGGUGAAAUGUCUCGGCUUAACCGGGAAACUGCCAUUGAUACUGCUUAACUUGAAUCAAGUAGAGGUGGAUGGAAUAUUACAUGUAGCGGUGAAAUGCUUAGAUAUGUAAUAGAACACCAAUUGCGAAGGCAGUUCACUAUGCUUGAAUUGACACUGAGGCACGAAAGCGUGGGGAUCAAACAGGAUUAGAUACCCGAGUAGUCC
rnacentral:rRNA from 1 species